AUGGCCGCGCCUCCCUUGCAAUCCCGUUCCCGGCUGCUGCUGCUGGCAGCUAUCACAAGCAUCCUUGCCGCCGCGACUGAUCUCUUGGACCUGGCUGCUGCUCAACCGCCCAUCGCGCUUCCGCAUUGCCGCGACAAGUGUGGCAACACCAGCAUCCCCUUCCCGUUCGGCAUUGGGCGGGGCUGCUUCCUGAGUGACCCAUUCGAGAUCAACUGCGACGACUCCACCACUCCACCUCGCGCCUUCCUUAGCAGUGACUCAUACCAGACAAUGGUCGAGUCCAGCUAUUCCAAUUCCGGCGCUCCUUUUCAGUUCAACGAGACGGCGAUAUCGCAUUUUCCAGUCGAGCUCAUUGACAUAUCAGUCGCCAAGAAUGAGGUACGGGCAUACGCCGCGGUUUCAUCCUACUGCAUCAAAUCCCCUACGGAGCAGGUAUUCAAGGUUCAUCACACUGUUGUGGGGCCUAACAAGUUCAUAUAUCCGCUCGCCCUGUCCAAGCGCAACUCUCUGAUCGGUGUCGGCAUGAAUGUCAAAGCCAUGUUGGUGAGCGAGUCGGCACUCACGUCGCCAGACCCGGAUUUACAGGUGGUAUCACCAUCCUGCUCAUCCGUUGCCGAAAUUGGUGGUUUCUACUCGCCCACAAAUGGGUCGUGCGCGGGUUAUGGCUGCUGUCAGGUCCUCUUCGCGGCGAAGGAGGAUACCCUCGGCGACUUUCGGGUGUCGCUCAAUCCCGCGUACAAUGGUACACAACUGGGUUGGGAAGAAGCCCCAUGCUCGUACGGAAUGGUGGUGGAGAGUUCAUGGUACAACUUCUCUACGCCGGACCUGUUUGGGUAUGAGGUGUUAUCCAAAAAACUCCAAAGGGGCGUCCCCUUUGUUAUCGAUUUCAGCGUUUUGGCCGACGGCGCAGCUAUACGUCCCGGUUUUGGUUUCGGUACAUUUGAUUUUUGGAGCGGCUCAUGUCCGGCGGAAGGCCAGCGGGCACCUCCGCGCUACGCCUGCUCCAGCAGCAACAGCUAUUGUGCCAACACAAGCAAUACAGAUGGUUACACCUAUGUCUGCAAGUGCAGGAAGUAUUACGAGGGCAAUCCCUAUGUCACUAAUGGAUGCCAAGAUAUACAUGAGUGCAAAAAACCUGAUUUGUAUCCCUGCUAUGGGGACUGCAAGAACCGACUUGGAGGCUACGACUGUCCAUGCAAGCGCGGAAUGAAGGGUGAUGGCAAAGCAGGAACCUGCAAACAGAUAUUCCCCCUAAUUGCUAGGGUGAUUGUGGGUGCAAUAGGUUCUAUUAUUUUAUUGGUUAUAUUAUUUCUUGUUAUUCUUCAAAAGGAGAAAAGGAAGACCAGAGACUUCUACCAAAAGAAUGGUGGGCCUGUUUUGGAGAAGGCAAAAAUUAUAAAACUUUUCAAAAAGGAAGAGCUGAAUCCGAUUUUAAAGAGUAGCAAUUUUAUUGAAAAAGGUGGGUUUGGUGAAGUUUAUAAGGGCUUUCUUAAUAAUGAACUAGUUGCAGUAAAGAAGCCAAUCAGCGGUAGUGUGCUGGAGAUUGCAGGGCCGGUCCAUGCAUGUUGGGGGCCCUGGGGCGAAAUUAAAACUUAGGAGAUUGAACAAUUCGCAAAUGAAGUCAUCAUCCAGUCUCAAGUCAUCCACAAGAAUAUUGUUAGGCUCAUAGGUUGUUGCCUAGAAGUUGAUAUCCCAAUGCUAGUGUAUGAGUUCCUCCCUAAAGGUAGUCUAGAAGACAUUCUUCAUAGUGGCCACAAGAUGCCUAUCAACUUGGAUCUGCGUUUAAGAAUUGCUGCAGAAUCAGCAGAUGGUCUAGCUUAUAUGCAUUCAAAGACCACUACUAAGAUCGUACAUGGUGAUGUUAAACCAGCAAACAUACUGUUGGAUGAUAAAUUUGUGCCGAAGAUCUCAGACUUUGGCAUAUCAAGGUUGAUUGCAAGAGAUAAACAACAUACCCUAUCAAUCAUUGGUGACAGAAGCUACAUGGAUCCUGUAUAUUUCCAAACAGGCCUACUAACUGAAAAAAGUGAUGUUUACAGUUUUGGAGUUGUGAUCUUGGAGCUUAUCAGCAGGGAGAAGGCCACACAUUCUGACAAUAAUAGCUUGGUAAAUAAUUUCCUUGAAGCUCACAAGAAUGAGAAGAAAGCAACUGAGUUUUUUGACAAGGAAAUUGCAGUAACAAGAGAUCUAGACCUUCUUGAUAGUCUAGCGGAGAUGGCCGUGGAAUGCCUUAGCCUUGAUGUGGAUCAGAGACCAACAAUGACAGAGGUAGCAGAGCAACUCUUCAAACUGAGUCGAUCUCGUGACUUUUAA
rnacentral:rRNA from 1 species